GAUGAACGCUAGCGGCAGGCUUAACACAUGCAAGUCGAGGGGUAGAAGGAGCUUGCUCCUUUGAGACCGGCGCACGGGUGCGUAACGCGUAUGCAAUCUACCUUAUACAGGGGGAUAGCCCAGAGAAAUUUGGAUUAAUACCCCAUAGUAUUACGAAAAGGCAUCUUUUUGUAAUUAAAGUUCCAACGGUAUAAGAUGAGCAUGCGUCCCAUUAGCUAGUUGGUGUGGUAACGGCACACCAAGGCAACGAUGGGUAGGGGUCCCGAGAGGGAGAUCCCCCACACUGGUACUGAGACACGGACCAGACUCCUACGGGAGGCAGCAGUGAGGAAGAUUGGUCAAUGGGCGCAAGCCUGAACCAGCCAUGCCGCGUGCAGGAUGACGGUCCUAUGGAUUGUAAACUGCUUUUGUACAGGAAGAAACACUCCCUCGUGAGGGAGCUUGACGGUACUGUAAGAAUAAGGAUCGGCUAACUCCGUGCCAGCCGCCGCGGUAACAC
rnacentral:rRNA from 1 species